GACGAACGCUGGCGGCGUGCCUAAUACAUGCAAGUAGAACGCACAGUUUAUACCGUAGCUUGCUACACCAUAAACUGUGAGUUGCGAACGGGUGAGUAACGCGUAGGUAACCUGCCUGGUAGCGGGGGAUAACUAUUGGAAACGAUAGCUAAUACCGCAUAAUAUUGAUUAUUGCAUGAUAAUUGAUUGAAAGAUGCUAUUGCAUCACUACCAGAUGGACCUGCGUUGUAUUAGCUAGUAGGUGAGGUAACGGCUCACCUAGGCGACGAUACAUAGCCGACCUGAGAGGGUGAUCGGCCACACUGGGACUGAGACACGGCCCAGACUCCUACGGGAGGCAGCAGUAGGGAAUCGUCGGCAAUGGACGAAAGUCUGACCGAGCAACGCCGCGGGAGUGAAGAAGGUUUUCGGAUCGUAAAGCUCUGUUGUAAGAGAAGAACGGGUGUGAGAGUGGAAAGUUCACACUGUGACGGUAUCUUACCAGAAAGGGACGGCUAACUACGUG
rnacentral:rRNA from 1 species